AAGUCGUAACAAGGUUUCCGUAGGUGAACCUGCGGAAGGAUCAUUACCGAGUUCAUGCCCUUCGGGGUAGACCUCCCACCCUUUGUGUAUUUAUACCAUGUUGCUUUGGCGGGCCGCCUUAGGGCGCCCGGCUUCGGCUGGGACCGAGCCCGCCAGAGGACCCAAACCCUGAAAUUAGUGUCGUCCGAGUACUAUAUAAUAGUUAAAA
rnacentral:misc_RNA from 1 species